UACGAAGGGGGCUAGCGUUGCUCGGAAUUACUGGGCGUAAAGGGCGCGUAGGCGGAUAUUUAAGUUAGAGGUGAAAGCCCAGGGCUCAACCCUGGAAUAGCCUUUAAUACUGGAUAUCUUGAGUUCGGGAGAGGUGAGUGGAACUCCGAGUGUAGAGGUGAAAUUCGUAGAUAUUCGGAAGAACACCAGUGGCGAAGGCGACAUACUGGUCCGUUACUGACGCUGAGGCUCGAAAGCGUGGGGAGCAAACAGG
rnacentral:rRNA from 1 species